UUAUCCUUCCUGAGUGUAUGAAGCUAAUCCCAAUCCCAUAACAAAUUUAGCCAAGUUUGUUUAUUGCGAAUUUACCUAUAAUAUCUAGCGAAAAGUUGCAAUUUCGCGGAGGGAUUGCGAUAUAAAAAAAAAAAUCCUUGGGUACAAUAACUUUUCCAAUUUUACUUUGGAAAUGGAAAAAAGAAAAGAAAAGAGAAGGGUAAAAAAAAAAGGGCAUCACCCGUUCACAGAGAG
rnacentral:misc_RNA from 1 species